AAUCAUAUGAUGAAAUUAAACUGCAACAAUAUGACCGAGGCUCGGAAUCUCCAUGAUUCUUAAGUAUUUAAGUCUCUGAUGAUU